UCACAAAAUGCGACUGUCAUAAUGUGGAGGGUUAAGCUAGCUUUAAAAACAGGUUAAGGGACAUUUCUAUUUGAAUUUUUCUCGGUGUUCAGUAUUUUUGGCAACUUUACUUCUCACAAUACGAUUGUUCUUUGUAAAUUUUAUUUUUAAUCAGAUGUUUCUAUCGUUAUAUACAAUGUUUUGAUAUUUUGUUUUUAUUUUUCAUGAUGAAUUAAUUUAAAAGUCUAACC
rnacentral:lncRNA from 1 species